rnacentral:rRNA from 1 species
UUUAAGUAAAUUAAACAAAACUUUCAACAACGGAUCUCUUGGUUCUGGCAUCGAUGAAGAACGCAGCGAAAUGCGAUAAGUAAUGUGAAUUGCAGAAUUCAGUGAAUCAUCGAAUCUUUGAACGCACAUUGCGCCCUCUGGUAUUCCGGAGGGCAUGCCUGUUCGAGCGUCAUUUCACCACUCAAGCCUGGCUUGGUGUUGGGCGCCGCGGUGUUCCGCGCGCCUCAAAGUCUCCGGCUGAGCUGUCCGUCUCCAAGCGUUGUGAUCUCCAGAAUCGCUUCGGGGCGCGGGCGGUCGCGGCCGUUAAAUC